rnacentral:rRNA from 1 species
UACAGAGGGGGCAAGCGUUGUUCGGAAUUACUGGGCGUAAAGGGCGCGUAGGCGGCCUGCUAAGUCGAACGUGAAAUCCCCGGGCUCAACCCGGGAACUGCGUCCGAUACUGGUGGGCUUGAAUUCGGGAGAGGGAUGCGGAAUUCCAGGUGUAGCGGUGAAGUGCGUAGAUAUCUGGAGGAACACCGGUGGCGAAGGCGGCAUCCUGGACCGAUAUUGACGCUGAGGCGCGAAAGCCAGGGGAGCAAACGGG